GGAACCUAGGCAGACAGGCUCAAGGUGCUGGGAGCCAGAAAGGCAGAUAAACACAGGCUCUGUUUUCAAGAAGACAGAUGGGUCAACAGAUACAUGUGACGCAGAUGACGACUACUCCCAGGGAGUUUCCCAGAAGCAGGGCCUGGAUGAAGGAAGACCUUGCUGAAUUCCCUGUCCUCCUGCCCCCACAGUCCAGACCACUGCCAGACUCCUCCUCCUCCUCCCAGCCUCUGCUGGCUCUGUUGAGAGCAUCGGUUGGACGAAGCCCAGGAUGAUUAAAUUGCACUUCGAGCCACUGCUGUGUUGACCAGACCUCCCUUCCAGCAACAAGUAGCAAACAUUUGAUCGAGUCAGAGUGGCCACUUGUCCCCAUUUCCCUCACCCCCGCUCAGCUUUGGAACACGAGGGCCGGGUCCUGAGGGAAACUGCCGGCUCACGCACCAGCCUGCUUGGGAGGCUGUGUCAUGUUCUGGAAAUUACAGCCCUGUGCUUCUUCCA